GAUGAACGCUGGCGGCGUGCCUAAUACAUGCAAGUCGAGCGAACAGACAAGGAGCUUGCUCCUCUGACGUUAGCGGCGGACGGGUGAGUAACACGUGGAUAACCUACCUAUAAGACUGGGAUAACUUUGGGAAACCGGAGCUAAUACCGGAUAAUAUAUUGAACCGCAUGGUUCAAUAGUGAAAGACGGUUUUGCUGUCACUUAUAGAUGGAUCCGCGCCGCAUUAGCUAGUUGGUAAGGUAACGGCUUACCAAGGCGACGAUGCGUAGCCGACCUGAGAGGGUGAUCGGCCACACUGGAACUGAGACACGGUCCAGACUCCUACGGGAGGCAGCAGUAGGGAAUCUUCCGCAAUGGGCGAAAGCCUGACGGAGCAACGCCGCGUGAGUGAUGAAGGUCUUCGGAUCGUAAAACUCUGUUAUUAGGGAAGAACAAAUGUGUAAGUAACUAUGCACGUCUUGACGGUACCUAAUCAGAAAGCAACGGCUAACUACGUG
rnacentral:rRNA from 1 species